UAUUCAAAUUAAUUUAAUUAAUUUUACUUUUAAGUCUAAAAAAAUAAUUUUUUGGAAGUUAUUUUAUCUUUAUAUUAUAAAAGUUUAGCCCAUAGAAGACUUUCAUAUUUACUGCACCUUGAUCUAAUUGCUUUAAAAAAAAUUUCGAAAAAUUUCUGGGGAAUUUUUCUUUAAACGACGGUAUACAAAUUUAAAGUAAUGAAAGAAAAACAUUAACGUGGAUUAUCGAUUACCUUACAGGCCUCCCUAACAAGAUAUAAAAUACCGUCAGAUUUUUUAGGUUUCU
rnacentral:rRNA from 1 species